AGCUCAAAUUUGAAAUCUGGCCCCCAGGGCCCGAGUUGUAAUUUGCAGAGGAUGCUUUUGGCGAGGUGCCUUCCGAGUUCCCUGGAACGGGACGCCAUAGAGGGUGAGAGCCCCGUCUGGUUGGACGCCGAGCCUCUGUAAAGCUCCUUCGACGAGUCGAGUAGUUUGGGAAUGCUGCUCUAAAUGGGAGGUAUAUGUCUUCUAAAGCUAAAUAUUGGCCAGAGACCGAUAGCGCACAAGUAGAGUGAUCGAAAGAUGAAAAGCACUUUGAAAAGAGAGUUAAAUAGUACGUGAAAUUGUUGAAAGGGAAGCGCUCAUGACCAGACUUGGGCCCGGUGAAUCAUCCAGCGUUCUCGCUGGUGCACUUUGCCGGUGCCCAGGCCAGCAUCAGCUCGCCCCGGGGGAUAAAGGCUCUGGGAAUGUGGCUCCCUAGGGAGUGUUAUAGCCCAUUGCACAAUACCCUGUGGCGGACUGAGGUUCGCGCAUCUUGCAAGGAUGCUGGCGUAAUGGUCAUCAGCGACCCGUCUUGAAACACGGACCAAGGAGUCGUCUUCGUAUGCGAGUGUUCGGGUGUCAAACCCCUACGCGUAAUGAAAGUGAACGCAGGUGAGAGCUUCGGCGCAUCAUCGACCGAUCCUGAUGUUCUCGGAUGGAUUUGAGUAAGAGCAUACGGGGCCGGACCCGAAAGAAGGUGAACUAUGCCUGUAUAGGGUGAAGCCAGAGGAAACUCUGGUGGAGGCUCGCAGCGGUUCUGACGUGCAAAUCGAUCGUCAAAUAUGGGCAUGGGGGCGAAAGACUAAUCGAACC
rnacentral:rRNA from 1 species